CAAAUUAUGAAGGUAGGAAGAAGGUUCCACUUAAAAGAACAGUUAAGAACAAGUCUUUUCUAGUCCUAUAUAUGUGUGUGUGUUUUCGAUGUACUCUACGAAGUUUUUUCAGACACAAGCUGGUAAAUGUUUUGCUGUAAAGAAUGGUCUGUGAAGAAGGUUUUAGGGUUGGAGAUAGAUUUCAAUGGCGUCGAGUUUUUCUAAAAGCAAAGGCCAGUUGGUAACCAUAUUGUUGGUCCUACAACUUUGAUUGCCCAAGGUCCUUUAUGGCAAAAUAACUAAUCACAGGCAAUUAUCCUGUUAUCCCAUGUGGGCGACACUCUUUAUUAAAUGUCGAAAUUACAUAGAUUUAAGCUUUCUUGAAUCGUGUCUCGGGUUGUAAUAUUAUUCCUAUGUUAGCAUAACAAAUUGUCUGUAAUGAAAUUCAUCAAUAAAUUUUGCUGUGAGGGGACCAAGUUGUGGGCAAAAAAAUUGGAAGGAAAAGACUUGAAAUUUGAUAAUGUUGUUUUCAUCAAUAUUUGCCAAUGGUUGUUAGCAUUAUGCAGGUCCAUUUGCUAUAA